GACGAACGCUGGCGGCGUGCCUAAUACAUGCAAGUCGAGCGGACUUUCAGGAGUGCUUGCACUCCGGAGGGUUAGCGGCGGACGGGUGAGUCACACGUAGGCAACCUUCCCAUAAGACCGGGCUAACAUUCGGAAACGAAUACUCAUACCGGAUAGACGUGCUUCUCGCAUGAGGGGGUCGGGAAAGGCGGAGCAAUCUGCCGCUUAUGGAUGGGCCUGCGGCGCGUGAGAUGGUUGGUGGGGUAACGGCCUACCGAGACGACGAUGGGUAGCCGAACUGGGAGGGGGAUAGGCCACACUGGGACGGAGACAGCGCCCAGACUCCUAAGGGAGGCAGCAGUAGGGAAUCGGACGCAAUGGACGCAAGUCUGACGGAGCAACGCCGCGUGAGUGAGGAAGGCCUUCGGGUCGUAAAGCUCUGUUGCCAGGGAAGAACGGGUAGGGGAGUAACUGCCCUUGCCAUGACGGUACCUGAGAAGAAAGCCCCGGCUAACUACGUG
rnacentral:rRNA from 1 species